rnacentral:rRNA from 1 species
UACGGAGGAUGCAAGCGUUAUCCGGAAUCAUUGGGCGUAAAGCGUCCGCAGGUGGCAGUUCAAGUCUGCUGUCAAAGACCGGGGCUUAACUUCGGAAAGGCAGUGGAAACUGAACAGCUAGAGUAUGGUAGGGGCAGAGGGAAUUCCUGGUGUAGCGGUGAAAUGCGUAGAGAUCAGGAAGAACAUCGGUGGCGAAGGCGCUCUGCUGGACCAUAACUGACACUCAGGGACGAAAGCUAGGGGAGCGAAUGGG